UUUACAGAUUGAAUUGCACACUCAAGAGGAUUCCAGAACUGUUUGCCCGUGUGGGAGUAUUUCUUCUAAGCUCACGGAUAGAGUUGUUGGAGGAUAUAACGCUGCAACUAAUGACUUUCCUUAUGCUAUUGGAUUGCUCUCAGAAUCGCUGGAAGGUCGGUCCAUGUCUUACUGCGGUGGAGUGCUAAUUACCGACCGCCAUGUUCUGACAGCUGGCCACUGUGUUGAUGGGUAA